GUGAUGAUGAUCUGUCAAGACUGAUGUCUACUGAUGUUUUUGUCAAUAGUCCUCUAAGAAGUGCUGAACUG